UUCCAGACUCCUACGGGAGGCAGCAGUGGGGAAUAUUGGACAAUGGGCGCAAGCCUGAUCCAGCCAUGCCGCGUGUGUGAAGAAGGCCUUAUGGUUGUAAAGCACUUUAAGCGAGGAGGAGGCUACUUUAGUUAAUACCUAGAGAUAGUGGACGUUACUCGCAGAAUAAGCACCGGCUAACUCUGUGCCAGCAGCCGCGGUAAUACAGAGGGUGCAAGCGUUAAUCGGAUUUACUGGGCGUAAAGCGCGCGUAGGCGGCUAAUUAAGUCAAAUGUGAAAUCCCCGAGCUUAACUUGGGAAUUGCAUUCGAUACUGGUUAGCUAGAGUGUGGGAGAGGAUGGUAGAAUUCCAGGUGUAGCGGUGAAAUGCGUAGAGAUCUGGAGGAAUACCGAUGGCGAAGGCAGCCAUCUGGCCUAACACUGACGCUGAGGUGCGAAAGCAUGGGGAGCAAACAGGAUUAGAUACCCUGGUAGUCCAUGCCGUAAACGAUGUCUACUAGCCGUUGGGGCCUUUGAGGCUUUAGUGGCGCAGCUAACGCGAUAAGUAGACCGCCUGGGGAGUACGGUCGCAAGACUAAAACUCAAAUGAAUUGACGGGGCCCGCACAAG
rnacentral:rRNA from 1 species